rnacentral:lncRNA from 1 species
UUUACUACCACGUUGAUAUUUAAUAAAAUGAUCAAGACUCAUUUGAAAGCGUUUCCCCUUUGUCCUCAUAAAUCUUAGGAGCAGAUCCUGACGGUACAGAUUGAAUUAGUCCUCCGCAAUUUGAGAGAUAGCAGCACAGAAGUAGACAACGUAGUGUUUUGUAAGCGCAUCGUAUUGCUUCUGUGCGUUAUAAUCACAAGGUCAAUAAGAAAUUAUGGCUCACUGGCCUCAUUGCUAUCGGGUCCUGUGCCUGAUUCCAAGCUGGAGUAUGCCUGGUCGGAAUCGCUGUGAGUUUUUCUGAGUUCUCCAGUGGAUCCCACCUUGCUGAGAUAUUCAGGUUAGAGAUGAUUGGCUACUCAGAGUUUACUCACUAAUUCCCAUUAUCCAACCACAUACUGUAUUUUCUCUCCAAUCCCCCAGUGCUGUAAGAGCUUGCUUUGAGGUUCUGACUACUUGGUCAUUAAAAAUCCUAUGGCACUUUUUGUAAGAAUAGGAGUUUCUGGUAUCUGAAGUCCACUCUGUUUUUGUACAAUCUGACCUACCUUAACUUCCCCAUUAAUUUGUGAUCCUAUUAAUUUCCCAUUAAAGUGAUCUUUCAUUUUUCUACCUGAUCUUCUGUGUAGUGGGACAGAAUGGCUGUAUUUCAGUGGUGGAUGAGAAGGGUUGUCUGCUAAAUAAGAGUCUCCCUGUAAAUUUAGGGAUGAAAAUGUAGGCUUUAAUAAUUUUAAUCGUGAAAGCCACUGUUGGUCUUUCAGAUGGUGAGUCCUUCUAGCAGCUAUAUUGACUACAAUAAAAUUGAUUAAUACAAAGAACAAAGUGAGAAUAUUACCUUGCA